CUGAGAAAAAACCAUUUCUGUUGCUUUAAGCCACCCAGCCCAUUAUACUUUGUUAGAGCAGCCCUAGGAACCCAAUACAGGGGACCUCUUGUCUUACAUCAGGUGAUCACAUUUCAGGUUUCCUCUUCAUGCCAGUUGGCAGAUAAUACCAGUCAACCUCCAGGAAGGCUUUCCUCAAAAUGUCCUGCCACUUCAUUGGGAAGAGAGCGCUGGCGCUGUCUGACUGAACAACCUGGUCUGGGGUUUACCUUUCAUGUAUCCACCCGCUGUUGCCGCAGAUUUCAAUUUCCAGAUUUUCUAAGGGGAGCUUAGGAAAAAUUAACACAUCAUUUCCAUUUUGUUCGCAAGAACCUGCAAAUGAUCUCAAAUGAGUCACUAACAGAGCAAAUGUGGCACAUUUUGUAUCCAGAGGCUAACUCAAGUUUAACAGACAGGAAGAGGAAGGGGAAAGCCCAAUCCUCUUUUCCUGGGUAGUUGUGGAAUGAAGACAAGAAAGUCGAGAGAUCACCUCAGAUGCAGGAAACAAAGAAGCCACGUUGAGAUUGGACAUCGGAGUGUGCCUCCAGUCAGGGGAAGUCAUGAUACAUGAUAACACAAGAGCAAAGGACCAACACUGCUUGUAUUACGACAAGGUUUCUUGAAGUCUUCAAGAAAACUCUGUCGCAGUGACCAUUUGCAGAUUGAAUCCCAUACUUUCAGGAAACAAAACCAAAACUAAAGGGGAGACCAAGAAGGUGAAGGCUUAAAUUCAACUUCCAGUUGACAGAAGGAUAAGGAACUGUCUCGAGAUUUAUUUCUAAAUGUUACCCUUAAUU